UACGGGGGGGGCAAGCGUUGUUCGGAAUUACUGGGCGUAAAGGGCGCGUAGGCGGCCCGCUAAGUCGAACGUGAAAUCCCCGAGCUCAACUCGGGAACUGCGUCCGAUACUGGCGGGCUUGAAUCCGGGAGAGGGAUGCGGAAUUCCAGGUGUAGCGGUGAAAUGCGUAGAUAUCGAGAGGAACACCAGUGGCGAAGGCGGGUCUCUAGACAGUUCCUGACGCUGAGGCACGAAAGCCAGGGGAGCAAACGGG
rnacentral:rRNA from 1 species